rnacentral:rRNA from 1 species
UACGUAGGGUGCGAGCGUUGUCCGGAAUCAUUGGGCGUAAAGCGCGUGUAGGCGGCCCGGUAAGUCCGCUGUGAAAGUCGGGGGCUCAACCCUCGAAAGCCGGUGGAUACUGUCGGGCUCGAGUACGGGAGAGGCGAGUGGAAUUCCUGGUGUAGCGGUGAAAUGCGCAGAUAUCAGGAGGAACACCGAUUGCGAAGGCAGCUCGCUGGAACGUUACUGACGCUGAGACGCGAAAGCGUGGGGAGCAAACAGG